AUUGAACGCUGGCGGCAGGCCUAACACAUGCAAGUCGAGCGGAUGAAGGGAGCUUGCUCCUGGAUUCAGCGGCGGACGGGUGAGUAAUGCCUAGGAAUCUGCCUGGUAGUGGGGGAUAACGUCCGGAAACGGGCGCUAAUACCGCAUACGUCCUGAGGGAGAAAGUGGGGGAUCUUCGGACCUCACGCUAUCAGAUGAGCCUAGGUCGGUUUAGCUAGUUGGUGGGGUAAAGGCCUACCAAGGCGACGAUCCGUAACUGGUCUGAGAGGAUGAUCAGUCACACUGGAACUGAGACACGGUCCAGACUCCUACGGGAGGCAGCAGUGGGGAAUAUUGGACAAUGGGCGAAAGCCUGAUCCAGCCAUGCCGCGUGUGUGAAGAAGGUCUUCUGAUUGUAAAGCACUUUAAGUUGGGAGGAAGGGCAGUAAGUUAAUACCUUGCUGUUUUGACGUUACCAACAGAAUAAGCACCGGCUAACUUCGUG
rnacentral:rRNA from 1 species